AAAUUUCCAAACUUGCUUUUGA
rnacentral:miRNA from 1 species